rnacentral:rRNA from 1 species
UUUCUCCUACGGGGGGCAGCAGUGGGGAAUCUUGCACAAUGGGCGAAAGCCUGAUGCAGCAACGCCGCGUGAGCGAAGAAGGCCUUUGGGUCGUAAAGCUCUGUCCUAAGGGAAGAAGGAAGUGACGGUACCUUAGGAGGAAGCCCCGGCUAACUACGUGCCAGCAGCCGCGGUAAUACGUAGGGGGCAAGCGUUAUCCGGAAUUAUUGGGCGUAAAGAGUACGUAGGCGGUUCUUUAAGCGCAGGGUUUAAGGCGAUAGCUUAACUAUCGUUCGCCCUUUGAACUGGGGGUCUUUA